AGAGUUUGAUCCUGGCUCAGAACGAACGGCUGGCGGCAGGCUUAACACAUGCAAGUCGAGCGCCCCGCAAGGGGAGCGGCAGACGGGUGAGUAACGCGUGGGAAUCUACCUUUUGCUACGGAAUAACUCAGGGAAACUUGUGCUAAUACCGUAUGUGUCCUUCGGGAGAAAGAUUUAUCGGCAAAGGAUGAGCCCGCGUUGGAUUAGCUAGUUGUGGGGUAAAGGCCCACCAAGGCGACGAUCCAUAGCUGGUCUGAGAGGAUGAUCAGCCACACUGGGACUGAGACACGGCCCAGACUCCUACGGGAGGCAGCAGUGGGGAAUAUUGGACAAUGGGCGCAAGCCUGAUCCAGCCAUGCCGCGUGAGUGAUGAGGGCCCUAGGGUUGUAAAGCUCUUUCACCGGUGAAGAUAAUGACGGUAACCGGAGAAGAAGCCCCGGCUAACUUCGUG
rnacentral:rRNA from 1 species